AGUGUGGCGCUGUGUUGUGCUUAGAACUAAACAUUAUAUAAUUUUGUAUAAUAAUUGUGUAUAAAAUUUAAAUUGUAAAACAAAAAGCAUGCCUCCAGGGCCCAAGAGACGUGGACAUCAGAAUAGGAGGAUUAAUGAUAUGAGAGAUUCUAGUGAAGAUAAACAGCAAAAAAUAGGUAAAAAUCAAAAUAAAGAACAUUUCGAAGAGAUUAAGAGAAACAGAUUUAACGAGAAAGUUCAAAAGUCUGAUCUUGACAAGAAUAUUACUAAUGAGAAUGAAAUCGAAGUUGAAAAAGAUGACCAAGAAAAUUAUGAACACUGUAUGCCAUCAUCAGGUUUGAUUCUGUUUAGAACUUAACAAUAAACCAAAGAAGCAUGGAAAGAUACAUGCUAGGAUUCAUCACGAGGGGCCACAAAACCAACAUAUGGAUAAGAAAAUAAACCAAAGUAGAAGAUAUACUGAUAAC
rnacentral:lncRNA from 1 species